rnacentral:rRNA from 1 species
UACGUAGGUGGCAAGCGUUGUUCGGAAUUAUUGGGCGUAAAGGGCGCGUAGGCGGUUUGUUAAGUCAGCUGUGAAAGCCCGGGGCUCAACCCCGGAGGGUCAGCUGAUACUGGCAGACUAGAGUACAGAAGAGGUAACUGGAAUUCUCGGUGUAGCGGUGAAAUGCGUAGAUAUCGAGAGGAACACCUGCGGCGAAGGCGGGUUGCUGGGCUGACACUGACGCUGAUGCGCGAAAGCUAGGGGAGCGAACGGG